CCUACGGGGGGCUGCAGUGAGGAAUAUUGGUCAAUGGACGAGAGUCUGAACCAGCCAAGUAGCGUGAAGGAUGACUGCCCGAUGGGUUGUAAACUUCUUUUAUAUGGGAAUAAAAUGUUCCACGUGUGGGAUUUUGUAUGUACCAUAUGAAUAAGGAUCGGCUAACUCCGUGCCAGCAGCCGCGGUAAUACGGAGGAUCCGAGCGUUAUCCGGAUUUAUUGGGUUUAAAGGGAGCGUAGGUGGAUUGUUAAGUCAGUUGUGAAAGUUUGCGGCUCAACCGUAAAAUUGCAGUUGAAACUGGCAGUCUUGAGUACAGUAGAGGUGGGCGGAAUUCGUGGUGUAGCGGUGAAAUGCUUAGAUAUCACGAAGAACUCCGAUUGCGAAGGCAGUUCACUGGACUGCAACUGACACUGAGGCUCGAAAGUGUGGGUAUCAAACAGGAUUAGAUACCCGAGUAGUC
rnacentral:rRNA from 1 species